rnacentral:rRNA from 1 species
GACGAACGCUGGCGGCGUGCUUAAUACAUGCAAGUCGAACGGACAGGCCCUGCUCUUGUUGGGUGCUCGAGUGGCGAACGGGUGAGUAACACGUGAGUAAACUGCACCUGACAUUGGGAUAACUUCUGGAAAAUGGGGCUAAUAUCGGAUAGGAGCUCCUGCUGCAUGGUGGGGGUUGGUAAGUUUCGGCGGUUGGGGAUGGACUCGCGGCUUAUCCGCUUGUUGGUGGGGUAGUGGCUUACCAAGGCUUUGACGGGUAGCCGGCCUGAGAGGGUGACCGGCGACAUUGGGACUGAGAUACGGCCCAGACUCCUACGGGAGGCAGCAGUGGGGAAUAUUGCACAAUGGGCGGAAGCCUGAUGCAGCGACGCCGCGUGCGGGAUGACGGCCUUCGGGGUGUAAACCGCUUUCGCCUGUGACGAAGCGUGAGUGACGGUAAUGGGUAAAGAAGCACCGGCUAACUACGUG